rnacentral:rRNA from 1 species
GAUGAACGCUAGCGGCGGGCUUAAUACAUGCAAGUCAAGGGGUAGCAAUACACCGGCGUACGGGUGCGUAACGCGUAUGGAACCUGCCCUUAUCUGGGGGAUAACUCGGGGAAACUCGAGCUAAUACCGCAUAAGAUAGUAGAAUGGCAUCAUUCAGCUAUUAAAGAUUUAUCGGAUAAGGAUGGCCAUGCGUAAGAUUAGAUAGUUGGUGGGGUAACGGCUCACCAAGUCUACGAUCUUUAGGGGCUCUGAGAGGAGAAUCCCCCACACUGGCACUGAGAUACGGGCCAGACUCCUACGGGAGGCAGCAGUAGGGAAUAUUGGGCAAUGGGCGGAAGCCUGACCCAGCCACGCCGCGUGCAGGAAGAAGGCCCUCUGGGUUGUAAACUGCUUUUAUAUAGGAAGUAACGGCCCUUGCGAGGGACAUUGACGGUACUAUAUGAAUAAGCACCGGCUAACUCCGUGCCAGCAGCCGCCGUAACAC